GACGUAGGUGGCGAACGUUAUCCGGAAUUAUUGGGCGUAAAGGGUGCGUAGGCGGCAUGAUAAGUUAUUGGCGGCAAAUCGAGGCUCAACCUCGUGGAAACUAAUAAUACUGUCUUGCUUGAGUGCAGAAGAGGUUAACGGAACUCCAUGUGGAGCGGUAAAAUGUGUAGAUAUAUGGAAGAACAUCAAUAACGGCGAAGGCAGUUAACUAUUCUGUUACUGACGUUGAAGCACGAAAGCGUGGGGAGCAAAAAGG
rnacentral:rRNA from 1 species